rnacentral:rRNA from 1 species
AGCGAACGCUGGCGGCAGGCUUAACACAUGCAAGUCGAACGGGCUUCUUCGUAAGUCAGUGGCAGACGGGUGAGUAACACGUGGGAACGUGCCCUUCGGUUCGGAAUAACUCAGGGAAACUUGAGCUAAUACCGGAUACGCCCUUUUGGGGAAAGGUUUACUGCCGAAGGAUCGGCCCGCGUCUGAUUAGCUUGUUGGUGGGGUAACGGCCUACCAAGGCGACGAUCAGUAGCUGGUCUGAGAGGAUGAUCAGCCACACUGGAACUGAGACACGACCCAGACUCCUACGGGAGGCAGCAGUGGGGAAUAUUGGACAAUGGGCGCAAGCCUGAUCCAGCCAUGCAGCGUGAGUGAUGAAGGCCUUAUGGUUGUAAAGCUCUUUUGUCAGGGACGAUAAUGACGGUACCGGAAGAAUAAGCCCCGGCUAACUUCGUG